GAGGUCUUGGGCGGCAGCUGCAGCGAGCCGGUCGGCCGUACGCUGCAGCUCGCCUGUAUGAACCCAGAAUAUAACAGGAGCGAGCCGACGGGCCGUCCUGGCAGUUGCAGGUGUGAGCAUUCAUCCAGCUGUCUGAUGCUCAUGUAUGAUACUGCACACAUUC
rnacentral:scRNA from 1 species